CUCAAUUUGAUCCGAAAAAUUGAAAAAGAAUGUCAGGAACAACUAAAUAUAAUCAGAAACCUGGAAAGGAUAUGUCAGGAUCAAGUUAUUGUGAUCCGUACCCUGGAAAGGAAACGUCAGGAUGGAUGUACUGAGCUUGAAAACAUCCAAAGAGAACUGCAAGAGGUGAAAAACAUUGAAGUCCAAUAUUUCCUAAAGCAACUCCAAGAGG